UUACAGUAGCAUCAAAGCUCACAAGCUUUGCGAGUAAAAUAACUGAUCGUCUCAGCUUAUUUUUACAUCACAAUUUUUCAAGAAUACCUCCACGACGUCGAUCUACAUGGUCUGUGUACCCUUUCGCGUUAACUUUCAUGGUUGUUGGACACAACUCGUCCUUUGAAGCUGCGCAGUAGAUCAUAACAACAGCACAUCUCAAGCGUCCAUUUUUAGCGUUUCAUGUCCAGCGGAUUCGCCUUCCCAAGUGACGAGACAAAAUGAGAAGUCAACAUCGACGGCGUGCCCUGUUGCUGGUACCGCUAACAGUGGUUCCAUUCCUGCUGUAUUACACAUCAGCACGCUUCAUUCCUGGUGACAUGUUGUCCUGGAGUAAACUGGAAAUCCGCGCAAAUACUAGCAGCUCCCUCCUGGAGCUUGAAGAAGCAGGCAGUGACUACAGUGGAGGACUUGAGCGCGUUGCCGGUACUGCAAACUCAUCCAUGGAAAAGCCAAAAGCUGGGGGAACAAGGCCAUUGCAGGAAUUUGCAAAUUACGCGAAGUACAUACCGAAGGAAUCGGUUGCUUUGAAGAAGUUCUUAGACGACCAGGCAGCUGUGCAGUCCAUACCGACGGAGGCACCUGGAUGGGUCUAUAACAAAACAGCUGCAGAUUUAUUUCGGUAGGAGUCAC